UACGUAGGGUGCAAGCGUUGUCCGGAUUUAUUGGGCGUAAAGAGCUCGUAGGCGGUUUGUCGCGUCGGAUGUGAAAACCCAGGGCUCAACCCUGGGCCUGCAUUCGAUACGGGCAAACUAGAGUAUGGCAGGGGAGACUGGAAUUCCUGGUGUAGCGGUGAAAUGCGCAGAUAUCAGGAGGAACACCGGUGGCGAAGGCGGUUCUCUGGGCCUUACCUGACGCUGGAGGAGCGAAAGCGUGGGGAGCGAACAGG
rnacentral:rRNA from 1 species